rnacentral:tRNA from 2 species
CAGAACGUAGCUUAAAGUCUAAAGCAUCUCCCUUACACCGAGAAAACAUCCAUGCAAACUGGAUCGCCCUGA